AGGGAAUAGUUUAGUUAGAAUGUCAGCUUUGGGUGUUGGUGGUG
rnacentral:tRNA from 1 species